rnacentral:rRNA from 1 species
AUUGAACGCUGGCGGCAUGCCUAACACAUGCAAGUCGAACGGGGCAGCAAUGCCUAGUGGCGGACGGGUGAGGAAUACGUAGGAAUCUGCCCUUAAGUGGGGGAUAACCAGGGGAAACCCUGACUAAUACCGCAUGAUCUCUUCGGAGCCAAGAGGGGGACCGCAAGGCCUCUCGCUUCUGGAUGAGCCUACGUCGGAUUAGCUAGUUGGUAGGGUAAAAGCCUACCAAGGCGACGAUCCGUAGCUGGUCUGAGAGGACGAUCAGCCACACUGGGACUGAGACACGGCCCAGACUCCUACGGGAGGCAGCAGUGGGGAAUAUUGGACAAUGGGGGCAACCCUGAUCCAGCAAUGCCGCGUGUGUGAAGAAGGCCUGCGGGCUGUAAAGCACUUUCAGUGGGGAAGAAAAGCCUAGGGUUAAUAACCCUGAGUCUUGACGUUACCCAAAGAAGAAGCACCGGCUAACUCCGUGCCAGCCGCCGCAGUAACAC